AAUCAACGCUGGCGGCGUGCCUCAGACAUGCAAGUCGAACGCGAAAGUUUCCUUCGGGGAACAAGUAGAGUGGCGCACGGGUGAGUAACACGUAGGUAAUCUACCUUUGGAUGGGGAAUAACAACCGGAAACGGUUGCUAAUACCGCAUAAUGCAGCGGCACCUAAUGGUGACAGUUGUUAAAGCGGGGGAUCGAAAGACCUCGCGUCUGAAGAGGAGCCUGCGGCGGAUUAGCAGUUGGUAAGGUAAUGGCUUACCAAGGCUACGAUCCGUAACCGGCCUGAGAGGGGCGGUCGGUCACACUGACACUGACAUACGGGUCAGACUCC
rnacentral:rRNA from 1 species